UCAAUGUUGGAGAUACAAAACAAAAAACAACUGUAUCCUUCCAGAUCCCACCGCCUCUGAGCGAUAACUUUGUAACGGCUGCAGUGAUUUGAACCACUCUUCCCAUUCUCUUGCAUUUCAUCGCCCUUAACAUCUUCCAAGGUAACCGAUUGAGCCUCCUCCUAUAAAUGUGUUUGUUGCCUGCGAUGAACAGCCUCGCCGCCACGAUACCAAUAAAGACAAUCUCUGUCAAGCACAGACUCCAACACAGGCGUACACUCUUGACGAUUUGAAAGCUGGCCUUUGGAUCUUAGAACUAAGCUUUUGCAACUCAGAUAGUUCAUGUGGUAAUUGCUGGAAACGCUGUUGAAUUUUUCCGUAAACUGGACAGGUACUGAUAUACAGCUUCAAUUAUCGCCUCUUAGAAACGUUAUUACUGGCUGAUUUUUGCAGAACAUGGACUCCAAAGAUCAAUCAAAACUGUAUGAGCCCAUCAAAGAGCUUGAUAUCAUGUUUACACAAGUGAGUCAAAACCAGAUAUAAUUCCCAGCCUGAAUGAUCCAGCUAACUUCGCAUGACCUCAGCAGCCUCUGAACAGAUGCCUUUUUCCUGGAUCCGCAGCUUAAAACACCUUCAAAUCAUGUAGAAAUCCUCAUUCAUUUGAUGUGGAUAAUAUCAG